GGACCUGACUGCUAUCGGAUUGAUACUAAGCCAUGCGAGUCAUUGUAGUAAUACAAGGCAGACGGCUCAGUAACGCGUAGUCAACCUAACCUAUGGACGGGAAUAACCUCGGGAAACUGAGUAUAAUGCCCGAUAGAACAUUAUGCCUGGAAUGGUUUAUGUUCCAAAUGAUUUAUCGCCGUAGGAUGGGACUGCGGCCUAUCAGUUUGUUGGUGAGGUAAUGGCCCACCAAGACUAUUACAGGUACGGGCUCUGAGAGGAGUAGCCCGGAGAUGGGUACUGAGACACGGACCCAGGCCCUAUGGGGCGCAGCAGGCGAGAAAACUUUGCAAUGUGCGAAAGCACGACAAGGUUAAUCCGAGCGGUUUCUGCUAAAGGAACCUUUUGACAGUCCUAGAAACACUGUUGAAUAAGGGGUGGGCAAGUUCUGGUGU
rnacentral:rRNA from 1 species